AGAUUGGGCAAAGGCAGACAGCAAGCAGCAGCAGGUGUCUUUUGCAGGAGUGGUUUUUUUAAAGAAGAAAAAGGGGAGUCUGUGCUAGGAUCAAGAUGUAGAACUCUCAGCUCCUUGUCCAUCACCAUGCCUGCCUCUACGAUGCCAUGCUUCUGACUGUGAUGAUAAGGGACUGAACCCCUGAAACUCUAUUACAGACCCUGGUCAGGAAGAGUGGCCAUGCUUUUCCAAGGCCAAAAUUAUCAGCUCAACUGGUGUUGUUUCCAGGAACUGCUCCUUCCCCUCACCCUGUCCACACAGAGAGAAAGUGAAAUAGACAAAGGACAAGAGGCCAAGCAGAGAACAUCCCUGGGCUAAUCAGCCAUAGCCAAAAGGUACAAAAGGUACAAAAGGUACAGCAGCCAAAGGGCCCUUCCAUGGGGUUCCUUUCAGAGAUGAGAGCCUAUGGGUUGGACUUGUCUGUA
rnacentral:lncRNA from 1 species